rnacentral:rRNA from 1 species
UGGGGAAUAUUGCACAAUGGGCGAAAGCCUGAUGCAGCGACGCCGCGUGAGGGAUGACGGCCUUCGGGUUGUAAACCUCUUUCAGCAGGGACGAAGCGCAAGUGACGGUACCUGCAGAAGAAGCACCGGCUAACUACGUGCCAGCAGCCGCGGUAAUACGUAGGGUGCAAGCGUUGUCCGGAAUUACUGGGCGUAAAGAGUUCGUAGGCGGCUUCUCGCGUCGUUUGUGAAAACCAGCAGCUCAACUGCUGGCUUGCAGGCGAUACGGGCAGACUUGAGUACUGCAGAGGAGACUGGAAUUCCUGGUGUAGCGGUGAAAUGCGCAGAUAUCAGGAGGAACACCGGUGGCGAAGGCGGGUCUCUGGGCAGUAACUGACGCUGAGGAACGAAAGCGUGGGUAGCGAACAGG